CUUCCUUCUUCGUCCUUCACCAUAUCGUUCUUAGGUGGUAAGGAGGAAGGUGGACUGAUGUUGGCUGAACAUUUUCUGUGCUGCUGAAAUGUUAAAUUCCAUUCUGUGCAGAUUAAAUAUGCCAUCAGUUUGGCUGACCUGCAACUCUUGAGGCAUCUGAUUCACAAUGCAGUGUGGUUUCGGCUGGAGUUACCCCUGGACCCGUUACACUAAUCUUCUCUGCAUUCAUCUGUUUGCUGCACAUGUCCACUGUGGCAAUCACUUCAAAAACCUACGAGAAGGAAAAUGGAGAGUAAGCCGAUGCACUCACAGGUCAUUACACCAAGCUGGAACUAACAGAUGACAUUCUGUCUGAUUUCUGAAAGGUCAGUCCAAGAUGGAGCUGCUGCUGGAGAAUUAAACAUUCAAG